GACGAACGCUGGCGGCGUGCUUAACACAUGCAAGUCGAACGGAAAGGCCCUGCUUUUGUGGGGUGCUCGAGUGGCGAACGUGUGAGUAACACGUGAGUCACCUGCCCUUGACUUUGGGAUAACUUCAGGAAACUGGGGCUAAUACCGGAUAGGAGCUCCUGCUGCAUGGUGGGGUUUGGAAAGUUUCGGCGGUUGGGGAUGGACUCGCGGCUUAUUAGCUUGUUGGUGGGGUAGUGGCUUACCAAGGCUUUGACGGGUAGCCGGCCUGAGAGGGUGACCGGCCACAUUGGGACUGAGAGACGGACCAGACUCCUACGGGAGGCAGCAGUGGGGAAUAUUGCACAAUGGGCGGAAGCCUGAUGCAGCAACGCCGCGUGCGGGAUGACGGCCUUCGGGUGGUAAACCGCUUUCGCCUGUGACGAAGCGGGAGUGACGGUAAUGGGUAAAGAAGCACCGGCUAACUACGUG
rnacentral:rRNA from 1 species